AUUGAACGCUGGCGGCAGGCCUAACACAUGCAAGUCGAGCGGGGUUUUCGGACCUAGCGGCGGACGGGUGAGUAAUGCGUAGGAAGCUACCCGAUAGAGGGGGAUACCAGUUGGAAACGACUGUUAAUACCGCAUAAUGUCUACGGACCAAAGUGUGGGACCUUCGGGCCACAUGCUAUCGGAUGCGCCUACGUGGGAUUAGCUAGUUGGGGGGGUAAUGGCUCACCAAGGCGACGAUCCCUAGCUGGUUUGAGAGGAUGAUCAGCCACACUGGAACUGAGACACGGUCCAGACUCCUACGGGAGGCAGCAGUGGGGAAUAUUGGACAAUGGGCGCAAGCCUGAUCCAGCCAUGCCGCGUGUGUGAAGAAGGCCUUCGGGUUGUAAAGUACUUUCAGUAGGGAGGAAGGAUGUUGUGUUAAUAGCACAGCAUUUUGACGUUACCUACAGAAGAAGCACCGGCUAACUCUGUGCCAGCCGCCGCCGUAAGAC
rnacentral:rRNA from 1 species